AUAUCAAUGCCUAUAGUUACCAAACUUAAAUAUUUCUGACUGUUGCUAUGGCUAUUAUUUUGAUUAAUUUUGACUUUCCAACGUUAUGUUUAGACUAGAACUUAUUUUUAUCCUUUUUGUAAAUUAAAUACUCAAAUCCCACUCAAUUAUUACUGACGAAAAUGGCUCGUAAGGAAGAACCUAAAAUUCAACCUAAUAAUGAUUUGGAGAAGAAAAUUAUGGAGGCUUUCGAAGUGUUUGACCACUCUGGGAAACAAGUGGUUGACGUUAGAGAAAUUGGUACCAUUCUGCGGUCUUUAGGGUGUUGUCCAACUGAAGCGGAAAUACAAGAGGUGAUAUUAGCAACCGAGAAUAAAGAAGCGACGGGCAACGUUCCGCUAAGUAACUUCCUGCCGUACAUGUGUAAAGUUAUGUUAGAACACAGAUUCUACCCAGCCAGUGCGGAGAUGCUUUUGGCGGCUUUCCGUUACUUUGACAAGGAGGAGCGCGGGUAUCUCACUAAAGAGAGGUUCGCGCAGCUUAUGCUUGAAGAAGGCGAACCAUUUACGCAGGAAGAAUACGAUGAGAUGAUGCAGACCGCCCUGGAUCCCGUGACUAACACCAUCACCUACGAGUACUAUAUCAAUCAGCUCAUGGUUGCUCCAAGAGAUGUGUAUGACCUCGCCGAUUUCUUAGAAGCGGAAAGAAAGAGAAUAGAAGCUGCCGCGCCUAAGAAACGCCGUGCCUCCGACCUUUUGAGAAUGCAAAACUGACAAGUGCGGCUUUAUACAGGGUAUCCCAGAAUGGGUGAAUUCAACUGAUAGGGGAGGUAGAGGAUGAAAUCGUGGAAACUGCGGAGCCACCGAAAUGAAUGUUUGAAACGGCACAAUACUAAAAAAACACCACUCAACACUCUAUUUAGAUUAAAAUUUAAUGUAUUGCAAUGAACUCAAAAUAAAUACUCAACACUGA